AACGAACGCUGGCGGCAGGCUUAACACAUGCAAGUCGAGCGCCCCGCAAGGGGAGCGGCAGACGGGUGAGUAACGCGUGGGAAUCUACCCAUCUCUACGGAAUAACGCAUGGAAACGUGUGCUCAUACCGUAUACGUGCAUCGGGAGAAAGAUUUAUCGGAGAUGGAUGAGCCCGCGUUGGAUUAGCUAGCUGGUGGGGUGAAGGCCUACCAAGGCGCCGAUCCAUAGCUGGUCUGAGAGGAUGAUCAGCCACACUGGGACUGAGACACGGCCCAGACUCCUACGGGAGGCAGCAGUGGGGAAUAUUGGACAAUGGGCGCAAGCCUGAUCCAGCCAUGCCGCGUGAGUGAUGAAGGCCCUAGGGUUGUAAAGCUCUUUCACCGGUGAAGAUAAUGACGGUAACCGGAGAAGAAGCCCCGGCUAACUUCGUGCCAGCCGCCGCAGUAACAC
rnacentral:rRNA from 1 species